AUUUUUUUUGCCCUUCAGCAGUUUGGACCACUUGAUGGACCGUCUGGUAAGCACAACUAAGUACUCCGACAUCAGCUCCUCAUAUGACUCAUAAUCAAAGUCUUCUGAGCGCUCAAAGCCAUAUGGAUCCACUCUGGUCAUUCUGUCUUUAGCUGAGCGGGUCCCGUUUAUCUCCUUAUUCUUCUCCAUUUCUUCUUCCGUGAUAUUCAGCAUACACUAUUUUUUCGUCUAAAUACCAAAAAUACGUCCACAGCAAACAUUUAUGUCGAAGUCAUAGUUUUAAGGUGAGAUAGCAUAACUUUUGGUAUCCGUGUUUGGCUAAAACGGGACAAGCUGCAACUUAUUCCCAGAAUUCCACAGUAUUCCUGAAGGG